rnacentral:lncRNA from 1 species
AUCGUCAUCCAGCGCUAUAUAUUGACGAUGGAGUACAUUUAUCUUUUAUUGGAAAUGAUAUUUUCUUGAAUCAAAUUCAGUCAGCACUAGAAACAUUCAUAAAGUAUCCACAUUGUGUUGUAUUUCCCCACGAUCAUCUUUAAUUUAAAAUAAACAGUUCAUAAUCUAAUGGAUUAAAUACAUGUAUUUUAUGAAAUUUGGUUGUUACAUAAAUGUUGAAUUCGUAAUAUCUUUUAUCAUUUUGAUUGUUUAAAUCAGUUGUAAGUUGCUCGUAGAAUUGGAUAUAACUGAAUUUUCAUGGGUAAAUUUUGUGGCGGAUUAUCAUUCUGUACUAAAGUCCGAUUGAUUAAUUUUGGCGAAAUUUACUUCAUUUUAUGCAGACUAUGGAUAGCCCAGCUGCUAAUUCUGAAAUAUUGCUGAAUGGACCGCCCUUCAGUACACCAGCUUUGGAUCGCCCAGCUGUGAUACAAUGAUUAGUUCAAUCGUCAUCAACAUUUUAUUGAUUGACAAAUAUUUUGGUUGUGUACUGUUGUUGUAACAGUUGUUGUUGUUUUAUGAAUGAAUUUUGAUUAAAUGUUGCCAUGACAAUUCAAUAUCCAAACAAAAUCAGAGUUUGUUAUUUGUUGUACUGAAAUACAAAUCAAGGCAUCAAUGGCGUCUGUUCGUCAAUUCUGUUAAUUGGUAAUUUACACCAAGUGGUAUGUUUGAUCCAAUGAUAUAUUCAAUAAUAGAAUUUAAUUAAAUGAAAAUUAAAUUCAUUUAUUGAAUUAACAUAUAUACAUGUAUUGAGACUCGACAAAUCGAGUCGUCCUUUACUCUUAUUAUGCUAAUUUGAGCAUGUGACAGCCGAGUAGUAAAAGUCCGUGCAAUUUAACGGUCUCUUUUACCUUGAAAACUGAACGGAGAGGACGUUAAAAAAUUAAGACCCUCCUCGCCCACCCUUAAGAAUUGAACUUUGUUUGCUGCUGGCUCUAUUUAUUUUUCAGAUGCUCCAGUCUUCAAACACAAAUCCGUCAUGGUAACAUGCUGAAGCAGUCACACAACCGGAGCGAAGUUUAUUUCAUUCUAUGCAGACUAUGGAUAGCCCAGCUGCUAAUUCUGAAAUAUUGCUGAAUGGACCGCCCUUCAGUACACCAGCUUUGGAUCGCCCAGCUGUGAUACAAUGAUUAGUUCAAUCGUCAUCAACAUUUUAUUGAUUGACAAAUAUUUUGGUUGUGUACUGUUGUUGUAACAGUUGUUGUUGUUUUAUGAAUGAAUUUUGAUUAAAUGUUGCCAUGACAAUUCAAUAUCCAAACAAAAUCAGAGUUUGUUAUUUGUUGUACUGAAAUACAAAUCAAGGCAUCAAUGGCGUCUGUUCGUCAAUUCUGUUAAUUGGUACUUUACACCAAGUGGUAUGUUUGAUCCAAUGAUAUAUUCAAUAA